rnacentral:rRNA from 1 species
AUGGCGUUGUCAACGAACGGCUGCGAUUAUUUCCAUGUGGAAACCCCCCUGUCUCAGGAACUGUGCAUCCAGGCUGGUGACGCUCUGGAUUUGGGUAAAAAUAUCGUGUAUAGUGCAUCUUACAGGCUCAAGCGGCCAAGUGAAAUUUCCGUGAAUACGACGGAGCAGAUGGUUCGGAUCUAUGCUUCCACCUUCAUGAAAACCGCCGAGGACGUCUACCAUGGGAAGACCAACACGGCAACCCUCUGUUAUUAUUCGUCGACACUCUAG